rnacentral:rRNA from 1 species
AGAGAGAGACAUGCGCGCAUAUCAAUAAGCGGAGGAAAAGAAACUAACAAGGAUUCCCUUAGUAACGGCGAGUGAAGCGGGAAGAGCUCAAAUUUGAAAUCUUCAAGGUUUUACCUUGACGAAUUGUAGUUUAAAGAAGUGUUUUCUGCUGAAGUUUUGGUAAAAGUUCUUUGGAGUAGGACAUCAUAGAGGGUGAGAAUCCCGUAUUUGACCAUUAUUUUCAGCUUUGUGAUACACUUUCAAAGAGUCGGAUUGUUUGGGAAUGCAGUCCAAAAUGGGUGGUAAAUUUCAUCUAAAGCUAAAUAUUGGCGAGAGACCGAUAGCGAACAAGUACCGUGAGGGAAAGAUGAAAAGAACUUUGAAAAGAGAGUUAAACAGUACGUGAAAUUGUCAAAAGGGAAGCGUUUGACACCAGUGUUGUUUUCUCGAAAAUCAAUUAAAAAUGGCUCGAUUUUGUAUUGUUGAGACCUUAAAAGCUCACUGUACAUUUUUCGUGUCUUUUUUAAUGCACUUUUCGUUUAACAAGUCAACAUCAGUUUCUUUUGUUGUAAAAGGGUCAUUGGAAGGUGGCUUUCUUUUCGGAGAAAGUGUUUAUAGCCUUUGGCCUCUGCAAUCGGAAGAGACUGAGGUCUGCAGCGUAGACUCUUCGGGGUUAGAUACAUUUGUGCUAAGUUAUAGCUUUUUAUAGACAACUUGUUGACUAUAAUUAGUCUUGUAGCUUACUCGCUUAUGCUAUUUUACCUACGCUUAGGAUGUUGAAGAUGUAGCACAUCAU